CUAUAACGGUCCUAAGGUAGCGAAAUUCCUUGUCGGGUAAGUUCCGACCCGCACGAAAGGCGUAACGAUUUGGGCACUGUCUCAACAACAGACUCGGUGAAAUUGUAAUUCCGGUGAAGAUGCCGGAUACCUGCGACAGGACGGAAAGACCCCAUGGAGCUUUACUGUAGCUUGACAUUGGGUCUUGGUACUACAUGUACAGGAUAGGUGGGAGGCUUUGAAACCAGGACGCCAGUUUUGGCGGAGCCAUCCUUGGGAUACCACCCUUGUAGUACUGGGACUCUAACCAUAGGCCAUGAAUCUGGUCUUGGGACACUGUCAGGUGGGCAGUUUGACUGGGGCGGUCGCCUCCCAAAAGGUAACGGAGGCGCUCAAAGGUUCUCUCAGUACGGUCGGAAAUCGUACGUAGAGUGUAAAGGCAAAAGAGAGCUUGAUUGCAAGACAUACAGGUCGAGCAAGGAUGAAAAUCGGACUUAGUGAUCCGGUGGUUCUGCGUGGAAGGGCCAUCGCUCAACGGAUAAAAGCUACCCUGGGGAUAACAGGCUUAUCUCCCCCAAGAGUCCACAUCGACGGGGAGGUUUGGCACCUCGAUGUCGGCUCAUCACAUCCUGGGGCUGUAGUAGGUCCCAAGGGUUGGGCUGUUCGCCCAUUAAAGUGGUACGCGAGCUGGGUUCAGAACGUCGUGAGACAGUUCGGUCCCUAUCCGUCGCAGGCGUAGGAAAUUUGAGAAGACCUGUCCUUAGUACGAGAGGACCGGGAUGGACGUACCUCUGGUGUACCAGUUGUCCUGCCAAGGGCAUGGCUGGGUAGCUAUGUACGGAAUGGAUAAGCGCUGAAAGCAUCUAAGCGCGAAGCCAACUUCAAGAUAAGAUUUCCCACCGCAAGGGUAAGACCCCAGAAAGACUAUCUGGUUGAUAGGUCGAAGGUGUAAGUGCAGCAAUGUAUUUAGCUUAUCGAUACUAAUAGGUCGAGGACUUGACCAA
rnacentral:rRNA from 1 species